UCUUUGGAGCAUAUGAAAAUUCAUUAAAUAUGUUUUUUCUUGUUAAUAUCUCUUUUAUUACGGGGGACGUCUAGCCAAGAACUUCGAAGGAAAUUUAUCUGUUUACCCUACAGUUCUGUGAGCCAGCCGGGAGAUACCGAAACACCGUACUCACCGUGCAGCCUGCAGACAAGAUUCUAGAAAACUAACAGAAGCCAGCAGAAGGACACGCCUGGAAACUUUGGUUAUAUUAUGAAGACUUCGACUGGAAUGUCAUAUUUGAGAGAGGCAGGCACACAUUCAGGUACGCCACACAGCUUUAAGGAACUAGAGUUGAUUUUAUGGAACCAAUAAAGCUCCUUGGAAAUAUUGGCCCAGUACCUUGCUUACAGGGUUCCCAGCAGCCUUACCAAGUGAUUAAGGAAGGCCGCUUUCUGGCCGGCCCAGGAACCUCAGGGUGUUUGGGGGACUUCAAGGAGAGAGGCAUUUUCCCACAUCUAUAGAUAUUAUAGGCAAGUCUAAUGGCAAGUCCUUGGCUUGGCUUCUUAGCCUCGAGAGGCUUUUAGAAGUCCAACCUGAGGGGCACCUGGGUGGCUCAGUCGGUUGAGGGUCCGACUCUUGAUUUGGGCUCAGGUCAUGAUCCCGGGGUUGUGGGAUCGAGCCCCAUGUCAGGCUCUGCACCGAGCAUAGAGCCUGCUUAAGAUUCUCUCUCUCUCCCUCUGCCCCUCUCCCCUGCUUUUCCUCUCUCCUUAAAAUAGAAUUAAAAAAAAAAAGUCCAACCUGAAAUUCCUUAUGGAAAGUUCCAGCAAAGUAGAUUAAAAGAUUCUAUGUCAAUUGCUAUUUUGCUGCAAUUAUGUAAAUAAUCGAGCCAAGUUCAGAAAACCAGACUUAAUUUGCAAACAAAUUAGUCUUACUAUGCUUAUCACUGAUAAGAAAUGUGGAUGAUUGUAGAGAGAAAGAUUAUAUUUCAUUAGAAAGUAUAACAUGUACUUGUGGAUUUUAGAUUCUAGUUUUGUUCAUUGUCUUUGAAAUUUUGCUUUCUACCUGCAGACUGGACUAGAUCCUGAAUUCUUUUCGUUUCCUCUAGUGUUUGGCUACGACUCUCCAAACCAACAGGUCCAAGUUUUCUCCCACCCUUUCUAAGUUGAAAUUAUCGGGAACUAAAACUACACUUUCUCCAAAGCCAUGCAAGCUAGUUAGACAACGUGAUCUCAACGUCAGAGAAAUCGCAAGAGCUCAGGUAUAGACCGUCUCCAUGCGUGUUGCUGUAUGGGCCACUCACAAAGAUCACCAGAGACAUUCAAACUACAAACCGGGAAAAUCUGUCAAAUUGCCACCGCCAGCCCUCGCUCCAUCUGAAGACGCUUUGAGCUGGACAUCGACAACUCUUCUCCACUGGCUGCCUUCGAAACUCAGAAACUGAGAUGGACACUUCCUCUGCCUCUCUGCCCGUGAAUUGUCUUCAUCCCAUUGGAUGUCCCAAACCACUACCCUCUUCUCCACAGUCCAGGACUGCAUAUAAGCCUCAAUUGCCUGACCGACCGGGUCUCAUAUCUUUGGGGCCUCUGUAUGUAUAAAAUUAAAUUAAAUUUGUUAUUCUCCUAUUCAUCUCUCUUCUAUAAUGGGGGGGGGUGUCUAGAAGAGUAAAGGGACAUUUGUGUUUCUUCCUCUGCACAACCCUGAGGAAUCCUUCACUUGGCCCAAUAAAUGCCUCGUUUAGACGAGACCUUUUGUUUGUCCCUGGUGCUCCGCCUCCAUGUUAUUCUGCUGAUAUUUACAAGGUCGGCCGUCUGCGUAGAUUAUCAUGUUGUACCAUCUAUGUUGGUUAGUCCUCAAUCAUUUUGCAGUUUUUACCAUCUAUAAGCACUUAUUUGCAACGUGUGCCUUUCUGUCUUUCAAACUAGAUGUCACUUCUCAAAAGUACUGUCUCACUCCUCUCAGCAUUCCGUAGUUCUCACGCAUGCAUUCAUUUCUUCACCCAGUUAGCAGUGACGAAGCACUCAUCGUAAGCUAAGACAUUAAGCUAAAUGCUUCAUUUUCUCACUUAAAACCUAAAACAACUAUUUAGGGAGGUACUACCAUGAUCCCCAUUUUACACCUUUGAAACUGAGGCUGUGGAGUGGAGAAGACAAAACUUUCCCCUCUAGCCUUCCAGGUUCUUGACUGAGACGUUCUUGU